UGGGUGAUGAAGGCCUUCGGGUCGUAAAGCCCUGUCAGGAGGGACGAAACCUCGCAGAUCUAAUACAUCUGCGACCUGACGGUACCUCCAAAGGAAGCACCGGCUAACUCCGUGCCAGCAGCCGCGGUAAUACGGAGGGUGCGAGCGUUGUUCGGAAUCACUGGGCGUAAAGCGCGUGUAGGCGGCUUCCUAAGUCUGGUGUGAAAUCCCGGGGCUCACCCCCGGAAGUGCACUGGAUACUGGGAAGCUCGAGUACCGGAGAGGAGGGUGGAAUUCCUGGUGUAGCGGUGAAAUGCGUAGAUAUCAGGAGGAACACCUGUGGCGAAGGCGGCCCUCUGGACGGAUACUGACGCUGAGACGCGAAAGCGUGGGGAGCAAACAGGAUUAGAUACCCUGGUAGUCCACGCUGUAAACGAUGGGCACUAGGUGUUCGGGGUAUUGACCCCCUGAGUGCCGCAGCUAACGCAUUAAGUGCCCCGCCUGGGGACUACGGCCGCAAGGCUA
rnacentral:rRNA from 1 species